rnacentral:rRNA from 1 species
GCGGAGGGAUCAUUACAGAGUUAUCCAACUCCCAAACCCAUGUGAACUUAUCUCUUUGUUGCCUCGGCGCAAGCUACCCGGGACCUCGCGCCCCGGGCGGCCCGCCGGCGGACAAACCAAACUCUGUUAUCUUCGUUGAUUAUCUGAGUGUCUUAUUUAAUAAGUCAAAACUUUCAACAACGGAUCUCUUGGUUCUGGCAUCGAUGAAGAACGCAGCGAAAUGCGAUAAGUAAUGUGAAUUGCAGAAUUCAGUGAAUCAUCGAAUCUUUGAACGCACAUUGCGCCCAUUAGUAUUCUAGUGGGCAUGCCUGUUCGAGCGUCAUUUCAACCCCUAAGCACAGCUUAUUGUUGGGAAUCCACGCCUGUGGUUCCUCAAAGACAUUGGCGGAGUGGCAGUAGUCCUCUGAGCGUAGUAAUUCUUUAUCUCGCUUUUGUUAGGUGCUGCCCCCCCGGCCGUAAAACCCCCAAUUUUUUCUGGUUGACCUCGGAUCAGGUAGGAAUACCCGCUGAACUUAAGCAUAUCAAUAAGCGGAGGAAAAGAAACCAACAGGGAUUCCCCUAGUAACGGCGAGUGAAGCGGGAACAGCUCAAAUUUGAAAUCUGGCCCUCGGGUCCGAGUUGUAAUUUGUAGAGGAUGCUUUUGGUGCGGUGCCUUCCGAGUUCCCUGGAACGGGACGCCUUAGAGGGUGAGAGCCCCGUACGGUUGGACGCCUAGCCUCUGUAAAGCUCCUUCGACGAGUCGAGUAGUUUGGGAAUGCUGCUCUAAAUGGGAGGUAUAUUUCUUCUAAAGCUAAAUACUGGCCAGAGACCGAUAGCGCACAAGUAGAGUGAUCGAAAGAUGAAAAGCACUUUGAAAAGAGGGUUAAAUAGCACGUGAAAUUGUUGAAAGGGAAGCGUUUAUCACCAGACUUUUUCUAGGGGGAUCAUCCGGUGUUCUCACCGGUGCACUUCCCCUAGUUGAGGCCAGCAUCGGUUUUCGGAGGGGGAUAAAAGUUUCGGGAAUGUGACUCCCCCGGGAGUGUUAUAGCCCGUUACAUAAUACCCUUCUGGGGACCGAGGUUCGCGCAUCUGCAA